rnacentral:rRNA from 1 species
CGGCCGAGAGCGAGUGUUGCGAGACAACAAAAAGCUCGACCUCAAAUCAGGUAGGAAUACCCGCUGAACUUAAGCAUAUCAAUAAGCGGAGGAAAAGAAACCAACAGGGAUUGCCUCAGUAGCGGCGAGUGAAGCGGCAAGAGCUCAGAUUUGAAAUCGUGCUUUGCGGCACGAGUUGUAGAUUGCAGGUUGGAGUCUGUGUGGAAGGCGGUGUCCAAGUCCCUUGGAACAGGGCGCCCAGGAGGGUGAGAGCCCCGUGGGAUGCCGGCGGAAGCAGUGAGGCCCUUCUGACGAGUCGAGUUGUUUGGGAAUGCAGCUCCAAGCGGGUGGUAAAUUCCAUCUAAGGCUAAAUACUGGCGAGAGACCGAUAGCGAACAAGUACUGUGAAGGAAAGAUGAAAAGCACUUUGAAAAGAGAGUGAAACAGCACGUGAAAUUGUUGAAAGGGAAGGGUAUUGCGCCCGACAUGGGGAUUGCGCACCGCUGCCUCUCGUGGGCGGCGCUCUGGGCUUUCCCUGGGCCAGCAUCGGUUCUUGCUGCAGGAGAAGGGGUUCUGGAACGUGGCUCUUCGGAGUGUUAUAGCCAGGGCCAGAUGCUGCGUGCGGGGACCGAGGACUG